rnacentral:rRNA from 1 species
GACGAACGCUGGCGGCGUGCUUAACACAUGCAAGUCGAACGGGCCCGCCCCUGUUUUUGGGGGUGGGUUGAGUGGCGAACGGGUGAGUAUCACGUGAGUAACCUGCCCCCUGCUCCUGGAUAACUGCUUGAAAGGGCGGCUAAUACGGGGUGUGCCGGCUGGUCCGCAUGGGCCUGGUCGGGAUAGUUUCAUCUUCGGGUGUUUCGGUGGGGGAUGGGCUCGCGGCCUAUCAGCUUGUUGGUGGGGUGAUGGCCCACCAAGGCGGUGACGGGUAGCCGGCCUGAGAGGGUGGGCGGCCACACUGGGACUGAGACACGGCCCAGCCUCCUGCGGGAGGCAGCAGUGGGGGGUAUUGCACAAUGGGCGGAAGCCUGAUGCAGCGACGUCGCGUGAGGGAUGGAGGCCUUCGGGUUGUGAACCUCUUUCUCCGGUGGUGAAGGCCCUGUCCGUUGCGGCGGGGUUGACGGUAGCCGGGUAUGAAGCGCCGGCUAACUACGUG